rnacentral:rRNA from 1 species
AGUAACGCGUGGAUAACCUGCCUCACACAGGGGGAUAACAGUUAGAAAUGACUGCUAAUACCGCAUAAGCGCACGGUACCGCAUGGUACAGUGUGAAAAACUCCGGUGGUGUGAGAUGGAUCCGCGUCUGAUUAGGUAGUUGGUGAGGUAACGGCCCACCAAGCCGACGAUCAGUAGCCGACCUGAGAGGGUGACCGGCCACAUUGGGACUGAGACACGGCCCAG